GUAACAGUCUCUCAAGUGAUUCCGCAUCAUCGGUCCUGUACAUCUUUCUGGCUUCAUUUUUAUCCGUUAAGAUACAAUUCUACUAAGAGCUUUACGUUUAGUGAAAAAUCCGGAGUUUCAUCGACGAACAAAACACAUUCAGACGCGGUAUCAUUUUAUUCGAGAGAAGUACGAGGAAGGUCAAUUUCAACUUCAGUAUAUUGACAUGCGGAAUCAGGUUACAGACAUCCUAACUAAACCAUUGGCAAAAACAACGAUUUGAGAUGUUACGGUCAGCAAUGGGAGUCAGUCAGUUGAAAGAGAAAGUCGACCUAUAGAAAUUAUUUACUGAGGGAGGGUGUUGAAAUAUUUAAUAAAUAAUUUAUAUUAUAUUCAUCUUAGAAUGUAAGUGCUCAUUAAUAUUGUUUAGAUAAACAUCUAUUCAUAAUAAGAAAUAUAUUAUAGCGUAAUUUAUAUAAUAUAAGUUAUUAUUAAAGUAAUUCCCGUGUAAAUUGACGUCAAUUGUAGUAUUGCAUUGUAUACAAUUUUUGUUCUAGAAUAUUCUUUUGGUUUUAUACAAAAGGGAGAUCCGGGGAUAUCUUAUUUACUCAUUUUUUUUAUAACGUUUG